rnacentral:tRNA from 1 species
GCGGACGUGGCGGAACUGGCAGACGCGCACGGCUUAGGACCGUGUGCCGAAAGGCUUGUGGGUUCAAAUCCCUCCGUCCGCACCA